AGCGAACGCUGGCGGCAGGCCUAACACAUGCAAGUCGAACGAACUCUUCGGAGUUAGUGGCGGACGGGUGAGUAACACGUGGAAACGUGCCUUUUGGUUCGGAAUAACUCAGGGAAACUUGUGCUAAUACCGAACGUGCCCUUCGGGGGAAAGAUUUAUCGCCAUUAGAGCGGCCCGCGUCUGAUUAGCUAGUUGGUGAGGUAACGGCUCACCAAGGCGACGAUCAGUAGCUGGUCUGAGAGGAUGACCAGCCACACUGGGACUGAGACACGGCCCAGACUCCUACGGGAGGCAGCAGUGGGGAAUCUUGCGCAAUGGGCGAAAGCCUGACGCAGCCAUGCCGCGUGAAUGAUGAAGGUCUUAGGAUUGUAAAAUUCUUUCACCGGGGACGAUAAUGACGGUACCCGGAGAAGAAGCCCCGGCUAACUUCGUG
rnacentral:rRNA from 1 species